AAAGAUGAAAAGCACUUUGGAAAGAGAGUUAACAGUACGUGAAAUUGUUGGAAGGGAAACGCUUGAAGUCAGACUUGCUAUUUGGAGUUCAGCCGCAAGGUGUAU
rnacentral:rRNA from 1 species